AGAGUUUGAUCAUGGCUCAGAAUGAACGCUGGCGGCGUGCUUAACACAUGCAAGUCGUACGAGAACGCUUCAGCUUGCUGAAGCAAGUAAAGUGGCGUACGGGUGAGUAACGCGUGGGUAAUCUACCUCUGAAUUGGGGAUAACAUUGCGAAAGCGAUGCUAAUACCGAAUAAUAUCUUUUAAGUUUCGGCUUUUAAGAUCAAAGGUGGUCUCUACAUGUAAGCUACUGUUUGGAGAUGAGCCCGCGUACCAUUAGCUUGUUGGUAGGGUAAUGGCCUACCAAGGCCGCGAUGGUUAGCUGGUCUGAGAGGAUGAUCAGCCACACUGGAACUGACACACGGUCCAGACUCCUACGGGAGGCAGCAGUGAGGAAUUUUGCGCAAUGGGGGAAACCCUGACGCAGCAACGCCGCGUGAGUGAUGAAGGCUUUCGGGUCGUAAAGCUCUGUCAAGUGGGAAGAACUAGAAAGAUACUAAUAUCGUCUUUCUCUGACGGUACCACUGAAGGAAGCACCGGCUAACUCCGUGCCAGCAGCCGCGGUAAUACGGGGGGUGCAAGCGUUAUUCGGAAUCAUUGGGCGUAAAGGGCGCGUAGGCGGCUCCUUAAGUCAGAUGUGAAAGCCCGGGGCUUAACCUCGGAAGUGCAUUUGAAACUAAGGGGCUUGAGUAUGGGAGAGGGAAGUGGAAUUCCUGGUGUAGAGGUGAAAUUCGUAGAUAUCAGGAGGAACACCGGUGGCGAAGGC
rnacentral:rRNA from 1 species